rnacentral:rRNA from 1 species
AUUGAACGCUGGCGGCAUGCUUUACACAUGCAAGUCGAACGGUAACAGCACUUCGGUGGCUGACGAGUGGCGAACGGGUGAGUAAUACAUCGGAACGUGCCUAGUAGUGGGGGAUAACUACUCGAAAGAGUAGCUAAUACCGCAUGAGAUCUAAGGAUGAAAGCAGGGGACCUUCGGGCCUUGCGCUACUAGAGCGGCUGAUGGCAGAUUAGGUAGUUGGUGGGAUAAAAGCUUACCAAGCCGACGAUCUGUAGCUGGUCUGAGAGGACGACCAGCCACACUGGGACUGAGACACGGCCCAGACUCCUACGGGAGGCAGCAGUGGGGAAUUUUGGACAAUGGGGGCAAGCCUGAUCCAGCAAUGCCGCGUGCAGGAUGAAGGCCUUCGGGUUGUAAACUGCUUUUGUACGGAACGAAAAGCCCUCUUCUAAUACGGGAGGGUCAUGACGGUACCGUAAGAAUAAGCACCGGCUAACUACGUG